UACGUAGGGUGCAAGCGUUGUCCGGAAUUAUUGGGCGUAAAGAGCUCGUAGGCGGUUUUGCGCGUCUGCUGUGAAAACCCGAGGCUCAACCUCGGGCCUGCAGUGGGUACGGGCAGACUAGAGUGCGGUAGGGGAGAUUGGAAUUCCUGGUGUAGCGGUGGAAUGCGCAGAUAUCAGGAGGAACACCAAUGGCGAAGGCAGAUCUCUGGGCCGUAACUGACGCUGAGGAGCGAAAGCAUGGGGAGCGAACAGG
rnacentral:rRNA from 1 species